CUUCUAGUAAACUUCAGUAAACCAUCGAGCUCGAAAACCCUCUCUGAUUGCAGUGCUUCAUCUCUCCAUCUCUCUCUCUCUCAUCUUUCUCUCUCUAGAACCUCAUUGUUCCCAUCAAAUGGAGACUCCGCAGCCGGCGUCUCUGCGGCCAUGGUUCCUCGAAUUGGUGCCGAUCGUGGUGGUUCUCCUAAUAGUAGCUCAUGUCCUCGCUCUGGUGUACUGGAUAUACAGAUUAGCUACUGAGAAGGAGAGGCAGCCCCAGAGGAGAAAAGCACACUGAGGAGGAACAGGUUGAUUUGUGAAAUUAAAUAAAUUAAAAACCCUAAUUUGUUGAUUUCUUGUGGAUUAGUAUUAAUUAAGUUUGAUUGAGAGCAAGUGAUUGCUGUUAGUUAUCUGUGUACUAAUAGAUUGUGGAUUUCUGAGAAAUUGAUCACUUACACGGUAUAAGAAUUGGCAGAGAUCCAUCUGAGUGUUGUUAAUUAUUAUUAUUUUUUAAUAUUUAAUUACAGUUUUUUAUUUGUGCAA